rnacentral:rRNA from 1 species
CGGAGGGUGCAAGCGUUAAUCGGAAUUACUGGGCGUAAAGCGCACGCAGGCGGUUUGUUAAGUCAGAUGUGAAAUCCCCGGGCUCAACCUGGGAACUGCAUCUGAUACUGGCAAGCUUGAGUCUCGUAGAGGGGGGUAGAAUUCCAGGUGUAGCGGUGAAAUGCGUAGAGAUCUGGAGGAAUACCGGUGGCGAAGGCGGCCCCCUGGACGAAGACUGACGCUCAGGUGCGAAAGCGUGGGGAGCAAACAGGAUUAGAUACCCUGGUAGUCCACGCCGUAAACGAUGUCGACUUGGAGGUUGUGCCCUUGAGGCGUGGCUUCCGGAGCUAACGCGUUAAGUCGACCGCCUGGGGAGUACGGCCGCAAGGUUAAAACUCAAAUGAAUUGACGGGGGCCCGCACAAGCGGUGGAGCAUGUGGUUUAAUUCGAUGCAACGCGAAGAACC